rnacentral:rRNA from 1 species
AGCUCAAAUUUGAAAUCUGGGUCCGUUAGGGCUCCGAGUUGUAAUUUGCAGAGGAUGCUUCGGCGUGUGGCCCGGGCCAAGUUCCUUGGAACAGGAUGCCUUAGAGGGUGAGAGCCCCGUACGCCAGGGACCCACCGCCGCAAGAAGCUCCUUCGACGAGUCGAGUUGUUUGGGAAUGCAGCUCUAAGCGGGAGGUAAAUUUCUUCUAAAGCUAAAUAUUGGCCAGAGACCGAUAGCGCACAAGUAGAGUGAUCGAAAGAUGAAAAGCACUUUGGAAAGAGAGUUAAAAAGCACGUGAAAUUGUUAAAAGGGAAGCUCUUGCUGUUAGAUUUGUCGCGGUUGUUCAGCUAUCUCUAGGGGUGGUGUACUCUUCCGCGGCGGGCCAGCAUCAGCUCUGGCGGUCGGACAAAGGGCCCGGGAAUGUAGCCUCCCUCGGGGGGUGUUAUAGCCCGGAUCGUAAUGCGGCCAGUUGGGGCUGAGGGAAGCGUUUUAUUGCUAGGAUGCUGGCGUAAUAGCAGCAAGCGACCCG